rnacentral:lncRNA from 1 species
GGGUGAGGGGCACGGUCACGUGCUGAUGCCCCCUCAUUCUAUCUGGUCCCCCAGGAAAUGUCACCGAAUUGAACCAAGGGCUGCAGGAGACUUUGAAAAAACUGGAGCGACCAAGGUCAAAGACCCCCGCCCCGCCCUGGGCCAUGCUUCUCCCACUUCCAACCCCCGCCCCCACCCGCUUAGCUCCAAAAAUCCACAUUGCCUCUGAGGUGGGGGGUGGGGGUAAGGUUCAAGUCCUCGAAAAGGAAGACUCUGUCCGUAGGGUCCAAGAGCCCUAGGUGGCUACUGCCCAGUGACUGGGGUGGGGACGAGGCUCGGUGGGGAGGGUGGCCAGGGCUGUCAUGCAAGAUGAUGGCCCAGCGGCUGCCUGAGUCCCCCAUCGUCACCUAGAACGGAAAACACCCAGACCAUCCCGGCCAGCUCCCAGGCCACCAUCGUUCUGCAGCUCUCCAUGUCGCUCCUGCUCCUGAGCCUCGCCAUUCCGCUGCUCUGAGGCCCCAGGAGGUCAGAGGUCAGGAUCCUGGGCGGCCCUGGGGAGGAGGAAGCUGGGGGCGC